AGUUUGCAAAAGCACCUGCCUGCUUCUCUGCGGAUAAACACAGGGACCUAUUAUCACCAGCAGAUGCAAUGACUUGAAGAUGAAGCCCCAUCUGCUGCAUUGGCUCUGCGUCUUCUGGGACACAGCUGACUCUUCACAAACAAGGACUUCCAGGAGUUUUUAAUUGGACCGUGACUCACAUAACUCAUCGAGUGCUGGAGAAGCAGCCCGAGCUGUUCAGGGUCAGUCCCCAGAAACUUGGGCCUGGCAGUUAUCCCACUGUGGGGGAAGCCACAUAUUUCAGAAACAAGCUCUACUGGCAGAGAGUUGAUUUUAUGUUUCCCAUCUGUCACUUACCAAGAGGGAGUCUAAUAUGCAUCCCAAAUAUGAUGGCAAGUUAUUUGAAAAUAUCCUUUAAGAAAGUUCACCCCUGAUGUUUACCAUUUGAGAAACACACACCUCCCAUAUGGAAGCCCGUCUUGAACUGGCAGUGUGUUAAGAGGAGAGCAGCUAAUGUAAAGUACGUUGUGCCUACUGAUGUGUGCAGGGAUACGGUUCAUGAACCCCAGAGUUCAGACACAGGAACACCGUUGUUGGAGUUGCUUGCCUUCUCUAAUUGAGCUCAAGGAAGCCCGGGACUCUGGAAAUCACUAGCCGCCACCUUGGGCGAGUGGAGAUGACAAACAUAGGCAAGGAAAGAAGCUGGUACGAGCGAGAUCAGAAUCUGUGAAGCUCAUCGGUGUUGUGCACCAACCGCCUUUGUUGCUUAUGAGUUUGAGAUUCAGAUGGAGAACUCUCAGCUACCUCUCCAGUGCCAUGUCUGCCUGCACUCCACCUGUUAUGCUUCGGGCCAUGAUGAUGAUGGACUAAAUCUCUGAAUGAGGAAGCUCACUCUGGCCAGAGAGCAAAGUGGACCAAAGAACAGAACAGGAUGGAAGACAAACAAGUCCCAAACCUCAUGGCUUGUAUGUUUCUAACAUAGGGGCACUUCCCAAGUCCCCCAAAACAGCAAUAAGUAAGAUCACCCCAGAUUGUUGUAACAAACUGUUUGUAACAUAUGUGGAAUUCUACUGUUUGUGAUCCUUCUUCUGGUCUGCCAUCAAUACUUUCUCUUUUAAUCUGAAGGACUUUAUUAAGGAAAAACUAUGAGCCAUGUGGAUGUGGCUGAUUUCAUUGACAUGUGGUCCAUGGAUAUCCACUGAUAUGCUUGCUUUCUUUUUAUCAUGAUGAGUUAUAUACAGUGAUAUUGGAACUGACUUUUUGAGUCAACAAAACACUCCUAGGGAAUUUCAGAAAUGACUGUAGUGGGUAAGAUGAAUCACAUGAGGCUUUCCAGAGUCUCCACGGCACAACCCACUUUGCUACUCCCCAAACCUGAAUGGACUGCAUAGCCAUCGAUCCACAUUGCAAGGUCUCAGUUUACAGGAGACUCUAGGAACAGCGCCUUUGAUCUGCAGUUUUGAAGAUGAAAGCUAAGGAUGCAUGGUUUACUUUUGAAAAUUUCCCCAUGUUCUAUAUUUUCAUGUUCUCACCGCAAAUUAUACUCUUAACCCUAGUUAUUAUGGAGUCUUGUGGGAAACUUAAACAUGUACUUUUACCUUUGGCAAUAUUCUGUAAGUAUUGUCAUGAGUAUAACAUAACUUUUAAAAACGAAAUGCAAACAUCACUCUUCCUGUUAUGUGAUCGGAAAGUUCUAAAUGGCUGGCAUUUGCAGAAUAUUCUCAUUGGAGAUACAAACUGUUUAUUCCCCCUUUCAUUUUCUCUGGGAUUUUGACAGUGAACUUUCCCCCCAGUUGAAGGGGGAAUCACAUGUAUGAUAUCUAUCGUAUGUUAGAGGGAAUAGGAUCACAAGGCGGACAUAACUUAAAUAUGCAUUUUUUUUUUUAGGACAGCGGUUGCUAAACGACUACCCCAAGACUCAAGUGUUCCUAUUUGUGUAGGUUUUCAGUGAAAUUCAGCUACCCUCAUUCUUGAAUAUAUUUCUGAAUAAUAGUACAGACUGCUAAGUCUGAAGUUGGGCCGACAGUGCUGACAGUUAAGUCUAGAAUAUAGUAUUACACUAAUAUAAACUUCACACACACAUCUGAAACUUCUCCUUCAGUUUGUGAAGCAAGCUGUGUCCAGCAUUGCCCCUCCAACUCAUUGAUAUUUUUGUAUUUGUGGUAAAAUUUCUGGAUGAAUUCUCUUGAGCCUCUGUGGGGUUCCCAAGGUAUCCGGAGAGACGGUAACUCAAACGUUAUACUUUAAUUCAGUAAGUGUCUUUUGGAGGACUUCUGCAAUCUUCAAAGCACAAUGUAAGUACAUGCGUAUGUGCAUGUGUUGUCAUCAAAGACUUGGAAGCUGUAGGCAUUGUCACAAAUGGAGAGCUCUUUGGUGACUUGCUAAUUUUGGAAUUCUAUUCCUUAUAUUUGAGUGUUGAAAAAAUUCCCAUGACCAUCCAACUUUUGACCUGAUUUUCACCAAACCAACUGUGCCAUUUGUACAUACCAGAAUAAACAAAUCAAUAAACAAAACAAAACCC
ensembl:antisense A230108P19Rik RIKEN cDNA A230108P19 gene